rnacentral:rRNA from 1 species
GACGAGCCACACAAACGUUAUUCGGAAUUACUGGGCUUAAAGGGUGCGUAGGCUGCGCGGAAAGUUGGGUGUGAAAUCCCUCGGCUCAACCGAGGAACUGCGCCCAAAACUACCGUGCUCGAGGAAGAUAGAGGUAAGCGGAACUUACGGUGGAGCGGUGAAAUGCGUUGAUAUCGUAAGGAACACCUGUGGCGAAAGCGGCUUACUGGUCCGGUUCUGACGCUGAGGCGCGAAAGCGUGGGGAGCAAACAGG